UUGGUUCAUUUGUUUCAAGAUCUUGUGGUCAUGUAAGGUUCUUUAGGCAACUACGCCAUGUCUUGUGUCUGGACACAGGGAGGUCUGUAUCUUUAACCCUUCUGUUUUCAUCUAGGUAGCCCUUCUUGUAUCACGUAGCCUGUAGUUUUCUUUACAGCUUCUCUUUUAAGGUGAAGUUUUAUUGCAUUAAUCUAAUCUUCAAGUAAGUAAAAUUAUGAUAAUGCCAGCGGCCACCUCUGUAUAUAUAUCUGUAAUAUACAGACUGCAAUGAUCAUAAAAAGCAAAUUCAAUUACUGCUGUAAUCUUCAUAGCUGAUAGCACCUUGGGAAGUAGGCACGCUGAAGGCUGAUGACUAAUGGGAAACAUACUCUUUUACUUAGUGUUUGCUGCUGUAGCAUUUCUGGCCAAAUUAUAGGCAUAUACAGUUGGAUGUCAUCAGCUUUCUGCAAUGCUGUCUGUUACAGGAAGGUACCAAUGUGUUGUACUACUCUUCCUUAGGGAAAGAAGCAAUCCUUCACUUACCCCUUAGAGUGACUUGAGGAAAAAAUACUGUGUUUUUGAUUCAGUGUUGCAUCGUUCCUGGUGUACAAGAUUGUAGUUGCUAUAAUUGUAAUGCAGCAGUCAAAUGUGGCCACCUCCAGAUGGACAUCUGACAUUCAUUCAUCUCUGGAAGGUGAUUAAUGUGUGAACAGAAUAAGGUCUAGAGCCAGAAUAAAAAUCUCAGUAACCAGUUAAAUGGAAAAUGCAUGAUGUGCCUGACAACAAAAACAUGCUUUUUAGAUAUUAAGCCAAGCUGUCAGGUAACUUUGCAAACAGAAGUCAUAGCAGUGCAUCAUUCAGAGAAAUAAAGAGAAGCCAUAGUAUUCAUAGUUUAAAAAGGGAAGAGUUUAAAAAAAUAAAAACCCGUGUUCCAGUGACCACCUCAGAUUCUUUUACUAUUUAUGGUAACACACUCUGUAUGCUAGGUUUAUUGUAGCUGUAGAAUUGGAUGCUUGGAUGUGUUCCUGACACAGCAGCAAGUUGAAAACACAUCUUUAAAUCUAGGAUAGGCUUCCUCCAUUAAAUAUAAAUUAUAUAUAUAGAUGGUAACACAUUUCUGAGUCUUGUGCAUAAUCUUGGGAGAGCUAAUGCCUAAAUUUUUUUAAGGUUUUAAGCACACUUUAGUCUGUAAGGGUUCAGAUUUCUAUCUUCUAUACUUAGGUACUUCAGGCUCUACAACAACGCUGAAGAAGGGUGUAGUAACCCACAGUAUCACUCCUGUUAGAACUGCCUACUCCUCAGGUUGCAAUAAAGGUGCCAGAAGAAGAGGUAUCUUAGUGAUUCAUCCACUUACGCAAAAGUAGGAAGAGCUGCAUUCUCACUGUUCCUGUGGUUUUGUGUUAAUGAUGCAGUCAUUAAGUGAGAAGUGGUUUCACCUUCACUACAGGAUUAAAAAAGGAAAAAAAAAAAAAGAAAGAAAAAGAGAAGAGACAAAGUUCAUGUCAGGGAAACAACCAUAGUGGAAAACAGUUGACAGCUAAAUAAACUGUUGAGUUCUGUUUUUCAGGUGCACCAUCUUUUGGUAAAAUGCCAUAGUGUAUUGGUUACUGUUGAAUAUAAAUUAAAUGUUUUCAGCCUUAACUUUAUAGGCAGAUUUAAAUUAUCUGUUCUUCUCAAUUACUGUUAAAACCACGUAGAGCUUAACAUGUAAUUGAUGCAUUAAUGUAACUUUUAACAUAUCUGAAAUGGGAAUAUAUAUGUAUAUUGACUUACUGAGGGAUUGCUAGUGAUGUGUUACUUAGGCUUCUUAAUGUUAACAGAGAGCAGCAGUUCUUACACAAGGAGCUUGUAUUGAACACCUAAACAAAUUAUAAGAAAACUUGUUUUUAAAGCCAUCUGGUAAUGAGCAAGACAAUUCUGUAUUGGGUGAGCAUUCUAAUGAAAUGCAGCUAGAAUCAGUCAGAAAAUUUCCGGAUCCUAUUUUUAAUUAUUUUUCCCCACUCAAAAUACUGUAUAUAUUCCAAGUCUUUAUUUAAUAAAAAUCCUUUUUAAUGUGUUCAAUGGUGAAGAGAAGUGUCUUGGACUUACAAAGCUGUGAGGAAAGAAAGGGACCAAGCAGUAAGAAUCUUUAAAGCUUCUGUAGAUGAGGCAGAAUUGCUCAACAGUGUUCAUCCAAAGCAAAGGACAGAGAGCAGCGCUACAAUGGUUUGUUGAUUUCCCACACAAAGACCAUUGUGCUUCCAUGCUAUAGUACGCCUAGAAACUUGUUCUCUGCUUUAUCUGAUUAUGGAUAUUUGUGCCUUUUCUCUAAAAGGAAACAGCAGUGUUCAAUCUCUUAAUGUUAUUAUGGUCCUUUUUUGCUUUAGGAAGCCUAAACCUCGUUUUGGUUUUGGAUGACUUGUAACUAUAGAAUGGUUUUGUUUGGAAGGGACCUUAAAGAUAGUCUAGUUCCAACCCCCCUACCAUGGGCAGGGACACCUCCCACUAGACCAGGUUGCCCCAUCAAGCCCCAUCCAACCUGGCCUUGAACACUUCCAGGGAGGGGGCAGCCACAACUUCCUGGGCAGCCUGUUCCAGUCUCUUGUCACCAUCAUAGUGAAGAAUUUCUUCCUAAUGUCUAACUUAAAUCUACCCUUAUUCAGUUUAAAGCCAUUACCCCUCAUCCUAUCAUUACACACACUAGUAGAAAGACCCUCCCGAGGUUUCCAAUAGGCCCUGUCAGGUACUGGAGGGCCACAGUAAGGUCUCCCUGGAGCCUUCUGCAGGCUGAACAACCCAAACUCUUUCAGCCUGUCUUCAUAGGAGAGGUGCUCCAGCCCUCAGAUCACCUUCAUGGCCCUCCUCUGGACACACUCCAAUAGUGUUCCAACUUCCUGUCUCCCACUUGUUUCUCCUAACCAGAGUGUUUCCUGGAAUAUAGUAGCCAGGUAAGUUAUUAUGAUAUGCCUUAGCAGCCAUUUCACAGUUUUCUUACUCUUUGGGAAGUAUGAAAUGCUCUGUAGUAAAUACUUCCAUUUUCUUGGAUGAAAGCCAUUGUAAAGGUACAGAGAAUUCUUGCUUUAAGCACUUGGAUAGAUUCAGGUUUUCCUUGUAGAAACAGAGAGCAUCCCAAAUUUCAUGGCAUCUUGGUUAGCAUUUGUAAGCUGGUGCAUUUUAAGUCCCUAUUUGACUGUCACUGGAGCUGAAAGGACAAGUCAUACCAAUCAGUGGAACACGACUCUUGGGCUCAAAGCUAAAAGGUGAACAUUUUUGUGUUGAUAGCUAAUCUAGGAGAUAUGACUCAUUUUAGCUACAGUCACUUCAUACCAGAUCAUAUAAUCUUACUUAGCUAAUAUUGUAUCUGAUUAUUAUUUAAAAUUAGUUCAUUGCCUGAUUACAGUAAUUCAUUGUUGCAAGUUCAUAAGCACAAUAAAGGGUGGGAUUCACUUGCCUUACAGUAUUCCAUUUGAAUCUCCAGGUCAUUUUUAUUUCAUAAUUCCUGUAUCACUUCUGUCAGCUCUGUGCAGAUGUCUCUGACAUCUUUUGAACAUCUAGAGUGGCCACUGCAAGCAGUUGAAUGGUCAGCUGAAUCUCACUGCAAGCAUGCAGAAAUAUUUUUCUCUUAACCACUUUUGCGCUCAGGGUAGUCUGAGCAAGAGAUUGGGCUCAGGAUUUUUUACAAUAACCAACUUGCUGUGUUGAAGGUAAUGUGGUCAUUCCCUAGCUUUGGCUUUCAGAAAUGUUUUAGUGUUUUACAUUCAUAAAGUCACUCUGUUGGGUGGACCACAGGAUAGAGGGACAAAGGAGUAGGCUGAAAAGUUCACUAUGGUAUAGAGGCAAAAUGUAAGCAAAAUGGAGUAAUCACCCAGAUUGAGAUACAGUGGACUGAUAAAAAAAAAUCAGCUAAAUGUAUAGUGUCUAGAAAUUGCACUUUACCCUACUGUCUCUGACAUUCUCUUAAGUUUUAAUUUUUCUUCUUCACUGGAAAUGUUUUGUGUUUGGUCUCUCAUUGUGACUGAAAUACAGGGAAGGAAACACAUUUCCUGUAUAUUCGAUUGACUUUUGUACAGAUCCAGUUCACAUGAGUCUAGAUAUUCCUGUUCAUUUAGAACAUGAAAAGUGUCUGUGUACUUGUUACAACUUUUCUUACAACUUGGUGAAAGCAGCCUUAAAAACUUCUGUAAUAGGCAGCUUCAUAUAAUGGAAUUUAUUGUACCUUAAUAAAUAAAGAUGAUCACUGAAAUACUGA